ensembl:lncRNA
UGAAUGAUGAACUUGGCCAAUAAAAGCCUCUGCCACAGAUCAACACCUAGAGUUUUCCCACCAAGGGUUAAUGCAUUUGGUCAUCCCUGUGGACUUCUCCCUUCUAAGUCUCAGCCAUCUCUGUGUCACAGGGAUGAAGAUUGCACCACAACGUAGUUAUUUGGACUCCUAAUGAGUUGAGUUGGUCACAUACAAUAUUUAGCAAAUGUUAUAGCGGGUGAAGCGAAAUGCUUGUUCCUAGAUCCAAUAGUGCAGUAGCUUCUAACAAUUCGCAACAAUAUACAAAUCUAAAAGUGAAAGAAUGGAAUUAAGAAAUAUAUAAAUAUUAGGAUGAGCAAUGUCAGAGUGGCAUUGACUAAAUACAGUACAAUAGAAUGCAGUAUACACAUGAGUACAUGAGAUAGAAGCUGUUUUUCAGUCUCUUUUCACUAUUUAAAGUCCCUACUGUCCCUAAACACACCCAUGUAUGAGCCUUCACAAUGUCUUAUUAUAAGGCUUAUGACAUGCCUCUCUAUGUAGGACAUUUUCAGCUGACUCAAAAUGGCUGGUGUGCAUGCUUAUGUGACAAGUCUUAUGCAUUAUAACUGCCUUAUAAUGCAUUUUACCUCCAGGCUUUUAAGUGUUAUUCUAUCAUUAUUUUCUUCUUGGAAUGAGAACCGGGUGACGACAGCAAUAUAAGAUUCACAUAUAAUCGGCUUACAUGAAUACCAAGACUGCAAAGUCUAGAAUACACAGGUUUUGUAAUAGCACACUACCUGACAAGGCUGAUUAUUGGUUGGCAAUGAUACAAUACGAUACAAUAUACUUUAUUGUCCAUUUACAUGGAAAAUUCAUUUUGUGUCGUCAGCAUACAAAUACAACACAAUAUAUUACAUCUAGUACGGAAAAGUAGAAAGUUGGUACGCAAGUCACACAUUUACAUUUUCACUAUUUAAAGUCUCUGCAGCCUACUGUCUGACCGUGUAUUGGGCCUGAAUCUUUUCUAUGUUCCACUGUUCAGAAACCUGAUGGCUGAUGGAAUGAAACUUGCAUUGCUCCUAUUCUUGCUGAACAUUGGGAGCAUUAAUCUCCUUGCAGCAGCUCAAAACAUUGGGCAAUAUUGUGUGUGGGGUCCUCGGGUCCUCUAUGAAACACUUAGCCUUGUCCCUUGCGUGUUUAUCAGAGGCCCUGUAACCCCCUGCACUACAGCCUGCAGAGCUUGGACCCAAGGUUCACAGUCCACCUGAAGACACCCUUAUUAGCCACUGACAGCCCACCGUACCAGGCCAGGAAACAGAAAAUGGAGGAGCCCCUGAGAAGAACCAAGGGGAUGCGGGUUUUCCUGGAAGUGAUACAGGGAGUCCGUGGCCACAGGGAGUCCGUGGCCACAACAUCACAUGCAAAAACUUUUUUACUGCGCACAAGCUGGGACAGGAGCUCCUCAAGAGGAAGCUGAGAAUGGUAGAAACAGUACAAAAAAACAAGCCAGAGCUCCCACCUCAGCUGUUGAAUACAUGGAACAGGCCUUUCAAUUCCUCUAAGUUUGUGUUCAAGGCCGACACAUCCCUGGUGUCCUAUGUGCCAAAGAAAGGCAAAAGAAAAUUCUCGAGGAGCUGAGCAAGGCAUUGGUAAGACCUAAAAAUCCAGAGGAGGCAACAUAUCCCAAGGACCCCAGCCUCUGCAGCCAUUAUGAGGAGGAUUCAGGAGGAGGAUGCUGGUAUCUCUUCCGCCCGACCCACAGAACCAACAACUCCAAUACCAGAAGUAAGUGUGAGUGAUGGUGUUGCGUGUGUGUGUGUGUGUGUCUGACUCCCCUUCCUUGGCCUGCUGUAACUGUAUAUGUGAGGGAGUGAUAUGUUAUUAAAAUUUCUGAACUAAGUGUUUUCAUCAUUCUAGAUUAUAGCCGGUAGCAACAAGAAGAAGCACUGCGAUGUGUGUAAACACAAGAAGGACAGGAAGACACAGUACACAUGCAUCAAGUGCAAGAAAUACAUUUGCAACACACACACAGUAAAACUCUGUCCCUCAUGUGGUGUGUAGGACUGGCCUUAUUUUGUGUUCAAUGGGGAUCAUUCAUCAUUUCCAUAAAAUACUGUAUGUAAAAUGUGUUCUUCCAAUUUGUUCAGUUCAAA